UGUGUUUUGGAUUUUGUACGUGUUUUGGAGUUUGUGCGUGCUACUUAGAAUUUGUAAGUGUUUUGAAAUUUGUACAUGCUUUGUCUCUAGGGGCCACCGUACAUUGUAGAUGAUUUAAUGACAGAUAUUUAACCUGAAGAGGGCAAAGAUUUCCAAAGAGGAUGAGGACUUUAUUAAACAGGAAAGACUGCUCCAGAAUUUCUGCAGAGCAGCAAUGGAGAAAGACCUGUCACCUUUUGAUUUUAAGUGGGAGAUGAGGACCAGGAAAAGCAACUGACCGAAACACUGGAGAGUUCAAAGUCACGCAAAAGCUCCCAUUGUUCCGCUGCUGAACUGUGAGCAACCUGAACACUGGCAGAAGCAUCAGUGCACAUUUCGAGUGAGGAGCAGUCGGUCAGUUUGAAGAGGUGAACCAGAGGAAACAAUUAAAAAGACCUACAUCAUACAGCAGAUAUGUCAUUUAACUCCACCUCCAACUAUAUUAUGGAUGACAUCUGCUCCAUAAGUUCAUCGAAAUUGAUUCCAUACUACGCAGUGAAAAUCACCCUCCUCAUCACUGUCUGUUUCCUCGUCUUUUAUGUUAGUCACCAAAGAUGGCGGCGGCAGCGCUCCUUUAAAACAGCAAGCCACUCUGACAUCUUUACCUACCACAUGGCUGCUAUGGAGCUGCUUGGGGUCUUAGGGUGUAUCUUCAUGUCUUGGGGACUAUACACAGUUGAUUUGAGCGAGGCAGUAGGAUUUUAUGCUUCUUAUGUUGCUUAUUAUGGAGAGAUAUUGUUCCACCUCCUGACGUGUGUAGAGCGUUAUCUGGCUGUUGUUCACCCCAUCACCUACAUGAGUCUAAGAAAUGCCCGUGGGGUCAGGAUCAGAAACAUCUGCAUUUGUUUUGUUUGGGUGCUGAGUUUAGGACUGUCGGGUGUUGUAAUUUUAUUACCUCCUAUCCACCAAUCUGCCCCAACAUUCUGCAUUUUGGCUCCCUCCAUAAUAAUCAUAUCUUUCUGCAGCCUCUCUGUUCUCUUUGCUCUGAUUCGUCCAGGGCCAGGGGAAGCGGGUAGGGAAAGGGAGACAGUUGAAAAAUCUAAGCUAAGAGCUUUCUACACUGUCACAGCUAUAAGCUGUGCUGUGUGGCUAUGGGUUGUUGCGGUACUUUUAUAUAAUGCUCUCAAUACCUCAAUUAUAGUGAGCAGCACUGGGAAGUGUUUGAUGUUAAUGUGUCUUAUCUGUUUUAACCUUCCCAGCUGUUUGGUGUUACCUCUGCUGUAUCUGCAUAGGGCAGGAAAACUCUCAUAUUGCUGUUAUACCAACAAGUAAAGACAAGGAUUGAAUAUGAGUGCAGCAGAUAAUAUAGCAUUACAUGGUUUGACAAAGUAUAGUGUGCUAAAAUAUUGGGAACAGUUUUAUUACAUACUUCAGAUGGGCUCUACUCAACACUCAAACCAUGCUUAAGAUCUAGAAACAGAUUCACGAAUAUAAAGAAACUAAAGACACUGGCCAAUAAGUCUUAGCUGGAUGUUUAACUGAAAAGCAUUGUAAGUGAAAGGUUUCAGGCUUUAAAGAUGUUUUCUUUUUGUCACAGAAAAAUGAAACAUUCACAUUGGAUCAUAGAUAAUUAUUAAACUUACCCUUUUUCUUAUUCCAAAAGAUAAUAAUGGUCAAAUUGGUUUUUAUGGCAUUAUUCAUAUUUAACUUAACUCUAUCUUUUAGGCUGUACUUUUACCACAUAUAUACAUGAGAAAAGUAAAUUAAGCAAUAAUUGUUCAUAUUAUAACCUUUUGCAGAAUUAGUUAUAGUUUCUGUAUAUUUCUUGUUCACAUUCAGAUUUUGUAAAAUGGCAAAUCAAUCACAUUUGUUUAUGAUAUUUUCUUUAUGAUGAUUAGGUCUGUCGAUAAGUUCAAAAGUAUGUUUAGCUGAGACAUGCAGCAUCUUUAUGACGCCUGUUAAACUUUGUUCCAUUAUCAAUAAAUUCUUGUUUUACAUUUAUGUUUGUAAAACUGUGUAGGAAUCAGCCUAUAGUUGUCAUGAUUAACUAAUGUGUACUGUGGUCUAUUGGGCUAUACAUAAUGCAAUUUCUAUUUUAUUGCAAUACUUUGUUGUAGUAGAGAUCCCCCUUGAUAAGCCGAAUGAAAAUAAACAGUUUAAGAACAUAGUCUGCACCUAUGUCAUCAGUGCUUUUAUUCUCUGCUGUUGCUCCCUGAGUGAAAAAUGCAUUGAUUUAAGCAAUGCAGUUUAACCCUUUACUGCACACAUUUUGAAAACAGAAUCCCAAGGUGUUACAUCCUGUGAGGCUGUGGGAGUGUGUGGGUGGGGUGUUUGCCUGUUCUCCCCGCCUCCUCCCCUCUUGCCACGCCUACCCCCUCUGUCUCUCUCACUCUCCAGACAGCCUCCCUCUGAAUAGUGAGUAGACGGGCUUGUGGGCCCUGAGAGUGUCUCUUCUUCGUGGUGAGGAGUUAAGUAGGAAGUGUGGGAAGUGCCUUCCUUCUUGUUUAGUAGUUUUCUUGUCUUUUGUUGCUGCGAGUGUUUCUGUUGUUUCUUUGACAUUAUUGGUAAAACGGCGUUGCCGGCUCUUUAAGUUAAUGUUGUUUGUAACAGAACUAUAUUAUUUGUAAUAAAACUAUAUUAUUAUUGAACA